AUACGUAGGGGACGAGCGUUGUCCGGAAUUACUGGGCGUAAAGGGCGCGCAGGCGGAUAUUUAAGUCAGCUGUAAAAGGCAUGAGCUCAACUCAUGUAUGCGGUUGAAACUGGGUAUCUAGAGUGCUGGAGAGGUAGGCGGAAUUCCCGGUGUAGCGGGGAAAUGCGUAGAUAUCGGGAAGAACACCAGUGGCGAAGGCGGCUUACCGGCCAGCAACUGACGCUGAGGCGCGAAAGCCAGGGGAGCGAACGGGAUUAGAUACCCCGGUAGUCCUGGCCGUAAACGAUGAAUGCUAGGUGUGGGUGUCGAGAGGCAUCCGUGCCGGAGUUAACGCGAUAAGCAUUCCGCCUGGGGAGUACGAUCGCAAGAUUGAAACUCAAAGGAAUUGACGGGG
rnacentral:rRNA from 1 species